AGUUGCCUACGGGGGGCAGCAGUGGGGAAUAUUGGGCAAUGGGGGAAACCCUGACCCAGCGACGCCGCGUGGGUGAAGGAGCACCUCGGUGCGUAAAGCCCUAUCGGCAGGGAAGAAAAGCGAACAGGUUCGCCUGGACGGUACCUGACUAAGAAGCCCCGGCUAACUACGUGCCAGCAGCCGCGGUAAUACGUAGGGGGCAAGCGUUAUCCGGAUUCACUGGGUGGAAAGGGAGCGUAGACGGCGACGCAAGUCUGGAGUGAAAGCCCGGGGCCCAACCCCGGG
rnacentral:rRNA from 1 species